rnacentral:rRNA from 1 species
UUGCAGUUAAAAAGCUCGUAGUUGGAUUUCUGUUAAUAAUUUAUAUAAAAUAUUUUGAUGAAUAUUUAUAUAAUAUUAACAUAAUUCAUAUUACUAUUUUUUUUUUUAGUAUAUGAAAUUUUACUUUGAGAAAAUUAGAGUGCUUAAAGCAGGCAUAUGCCUUGAAUACUCCAGCAUGGAAUAAUAUUAAAGAUUUUUAUCUUUYUUAUUGGUUCUAAGAUAAGAAUAAUGAUUAAUAGGGACAGUUGGGGGCAUUUGUAUUUAACAGUCAGAGGUGAAAUUCUUAGAUUUGUUAAAGACARACUAAUGCGAAAGCAUUUGCCAAGGAUGUUUUCAUUAAUCAAGAACGAAAGUUAGGGGAUCGAAGACGAUCAGAUAC